rnacentral:rRNA from 1 species
UGGGGAAUAUUGGACAAUGGGGGGAACCCUGAUCCAGCCAUGCCGCGUGUGUGAAGAAGGCCUUAUGGUUGUAAAGCACUUUAAGCGAGGAGGAGGGUACUGGUAUUAAUACUACCAGCUACUGGACGUUACUCGCAGAAUAAGCACCGUCUAACUCUGUGCCAGCAGCCGCGGUAAUACAGAGGGUGCGAGCGUUAAUCGGAUUUACUGGGCGUAAAGCGUGCGUAGGCGGCUAAUUGAGUCGGAUGUGAAAUCCCCGAGCUUAACUUGGGAAUUGCAUUCGAUACUGGUUAGCUAGAGUGUGGGAGAGGAUGGUAGAAUUCCAGGUGUAGCGGUGAAAUGCGUAGAGAUCUGGAGGAAUACCGAUGGCGAAGGCAGCCAUCUGGCCUAACACUGACGCUGAGGUACGAAAGCAUGGGGAGCAAACAGG